GAAACCGACCUGGCUUACACCGGUUUAAACUCAGAUCAUGUAAAAUUUUAAAGGUCGAACAGACCUAACUCAUCAGCUUCUUCACCAACAAUAAAUUUUAAUCCAACAUCGAGGUCGCAACCUUUUUUUUCGAUCAGAACUCUAAAAAAAAUUACGCUGUUAUCCCUAAGGUAAUUUAAUCUUAUAAUCUAAAUUUUAGGAUCAUAAAUAUACAAAUCAAUAUUAUCAUAAAAGAAAAGUUAAUUAAAUUUUCCUAUCACCCCAAUAAAAUAUAUAUAUUCUAAACCUAGUCAAACAAAACAAUAUAAACUUAAACAUAAAUAUAUGUAUAAAACUCUAUAGGGUCUUCUCGUCUUCUAUGAAAAUUUAAGCUUUUUUACUUAAAAAUAAAAUUUUAAUAAAUUUAUACAGAGACAGUCAUUUUUUCAUCAAACCUUUCAUUCAAGCUUUCAAUUAAAAAACUAAUGAUUAUGCUACCUUUGCACGGUCAAGAUACCGCGGCCAUUUAAACUCUCAGGGGGCAGGCCARACUUGAAAUUAUUAUCAACAARAC
rnacentral:rRNA from 1 species